UUCCAGUUUCUGAAGGAUGUCUGCCUGGGGGUAUGAUGAUGAUGAUAAAGCUAACUAUCAAGGAAUGUGCAGAGUAACAUCUAGUAAUGAUGACUGGGAACCAACUGCAUGGAUUUCUCAACCAGAUGAUAAACCCCAUGCUGGGAAAGAGGAACAACAUGUUACAAGUGUAAUGGAAAAGGGCACUUUGCAAGAGAUUGCCCUUCUGCUAAGGAAACUGGUGGUUUUAACAGGCAGCAACAAGAUUUAAGAAAAGAACGAGGACAAGACAGAGUGGCUGGCAGAGGCAUUGGAAAGGCUUGUUUUAAGUGUGGUACAGAAGGUCACCUGUCCCGUGAUUGCCCUGAUGCUUUUGGUGGAGGCAAACCUGGUGCUGGUUUUGAUGGCAGAGGAGAACGUAUUGGUGGUAAUGCAAGAAAGGCAGGUUGUUUCAAAUGUGGUAAAGAUGGCCACAUGGCUAAAGAUUGUUUACAAGCUGCACCUGGAAAGGAAGAUGCAAAAGAAAAACCCCGUGUACCUACUUAUAUACCUGUAGACCUAGACAGUGACAAGCUCUUUGAGGUUAAGAUGGGAAUUGGGAAACACUUCCAUUAUUAUGAUGACAUGCCAGUCAAGGUGAG